UCCAGUGCAAAGCAGAUAAUAUAAGAUUAUAAAUGGGUUAUAUAGCUGUGUGGAAGGGCCUUGAGUCUACACUGCCAUAUAAUCCAGUGCAAAUUAGAUAAUCUGUGGAAGAAGUCUAAGUGAGGCCUAAAUCUGCCUGUCCCCUAACUGAAACCUGGCUGUCCCUUGGUUGCUAGGCAACCAAGUGGGCAGAGAUUAGCCCUCUAAACUGGCAGCAAUUGGAUAAAAAAAUUAUUGCUCUCCCUCUAAUUAGGACUUUAUUUUUCUUUUCUUUUUGUUGUAUCAACCUUGAGGCGUGGAUGAUGGGUUGUGUUGUCAAAUUUUGAGGUUGGGGGGCCUGUACUUUUGUUGUUUUGUGAAUUGCCGUGAUGCCAUCACUCUUUUAUAUAUAUAGAUGUGGAAUGGAUAUGACACAUAUUGCUUUUUAUUUAAGAUACAGAACUACCCCAUAAAGUUUAAAAUGUGAUAGAAGUAUGCUUUGAUUAUUCAGAUGUGACCUUACAGUCAGUUCUAGAACUAAUACAUUUUACUUCAUGAUGAAUUAGUAAACAUGUUAAACAAUGUGAACUUAUAGAAACCUAAGAGAAAACUCAAAGAUUAAUUUGUUAUUAAUAACAAUUUUGCUUUUGUCGGGUGAUUUGGCAUUUGUAACACUCUCAAAGUAUUCAGAAUUUUAGUCAAAUGAAUAUUUCAUAUUAAUUAUCAUUACUUAUUUCAAAAGGCUUGUUGCAUUGAAACAAGUUGCAAUUUAUUUACUGAAAUGCAGGUUCCCAUGACUCACCAAACCUGCUUUGCUCUGUUUACUUAUUGUUUUCAGUAAUUAAACCUUGGGAUAGAGGGACGAUGGGGUGCAAAACAAGAACUUCAAUUUCUUUCUUUUGUUUUCUUUACACACUAAUGCCACAGUUCUAGAAAUUUUAUAGCAAAGGUGAAGUAAGUUACAUAAAUCCACUAUUCAGCAGACUAUUCUAUGAAUAGUAAACAUUCAAUUUGUAUUGGAGAUCACAAUAAGAGAGAUGAAGACAGAGGCUCUGAGAGUGCAACAGGUCAAGAUAUUUCAAUAACUGAGCUAACAUACUCAAAGGCCUGCCAGGAUUUGCUAACCAUCUCUUCAUAUGACAAUAAGCUUACUACUAGACAUUAAUGAUAUCUCCAUAGCUUAGGCAAUCAUAAGCAGAACAUGAGUGCAAUUACAUUUUCCCACUCAUGUUCCCAAGCCACUGAUGCCAGUAUUGAAAGGAGUAGGCAGAGAGGCUAGUCCAGAUCAAGUUCAAACAUAAAGAGCAGUCUUGCCAAUUUCAGUAGUAGCAAUCAAGGAACCAGUCAGAGGAGUCCAAAGAGCAAGUCAGGGUCAGAAAGCCAAGGGAGUUAUCGACAAGUGAAUACAGACAGAAAGAACCAAAGUAAAGCUAACAAAGCAAUGUCUCCAGCCUAAGUGUUUCAUAGUCGGAAAUUUCGUGAUGCUAAAGAAGGAGGAAAAGGAGAUUGAAGCCAGGGAAGGAGGGGAAUGGAGGGCGAGAAGUGCAGUGGUCGUGCUCAGAGAUGGGCAUAAUGAGGGAAAAGAUACAAAAUAGUGAGAUAUGUCUAAAGAUGAGGAAAAACAGCGAAGGGGAAGAAGAUGCCACCUUAGAGUGCACAGAACAUAUGGGAGGCAUUAUAAAGGUGUGAGAGUAUGGAGGUAAGGGAAAGAGUUGGGAACACAAUGAAAGAUGCAUGGCAUGAGUAGAUAUUCAGAGAAAUAAGAAGAAAGGAUCAUUACUCCUGCAGUAAAUUCUGUACUGAUUGUACUUCAUUCAAUAUAAGUUUAUAUUUUAUAUCUGCUUAUUGUCCAUUUACUAGUGCAUAUCGUUGUACUUGUGGAUAUAUAUUAGUUUGGUGUGUAACCAGGAACCCAUUUACUUAAUAUUCGUCCAAAGCUUAGCUUUGUUCAUGGCUGAGUGGCAACAAAAAUAAGUUUUGACAAUGAAUAUAAAGAACAAUUAAUUAAAGAUAGAUCUUUAUUUGAAGCAGGCAUGUCCACCUUGCGCAAUUCCAAUAUAGGGGUUACCUUAGGAGAUUAUGAGAAACUGAAAUGUAAAGAAAUCAGGUUAGAUUUAUAUGCUUCAUCACUGGCUGAAUAUGUUAAAGCCAAUAGAAUCCCCAGGGGGUUACGGAUAUUCAAACCUCCGGGUAUGUGUAAUCAAGAUGAGUCUUUCAAUCAGAAAUGGGUGGCUAUUCUUAAUAAGUGCUCACAGGAUUUGAUGUUGUUGAUCAUUGAACAUUCUAAUGAAGAAAUUGCCAAGAUCAAAAUCCAGUCCCAGUCUAUGUUAGAUAAGCUCAGUUCUGGGCAACAAUUUAAAAUGGAAUUAGAUACCCUCACUAACAAACUUAAAGAAUUCUCUCAACAACUUAGAUCCUUCAAACUAAAAAAAUUGAAAGAGAUCAUAAUGAUUAUAGUAACGACAAAUGGCUAUAUUCGAAUCAGUUCUAACCUAGAAAACAAGUUAGAUUCAGUGACCACACUUCAGAGGAAAAAAUUGAAUCCACAAUGGAUAGCUCAGGUAGCAGUGGGACUUCUAGAAGAAAAGAGUACAUACCAUUCAUUUGAUUUGUAAGCUGCUCUGAGUCCCCUUCGGGGUGAGAAGAGCAGGUUAUAAAUGUAGUAAAUAAAUAAAUAGGUCCUCUCUUCCCAGUUUUGGUUGGGGAUGAAACAGAAAAUCAACUCCUGUCUCCUUUUGUAUUCAGAAUAGCAGAGAGGGAAGGAUAUGAUACAAAAUAAAAAGAGGGGGGAGUGGUUAAGAUCUUGAUCCUUUUCUGGGCUAAGAGUAGUUUUGGGAUUCAAAGUAACUUUAACUAAAUAUAGAUUAACUAAGAAAAAAGAAUGAGAGUAAAAAAGAUGGAGAGGAGAGGAGUCCUAAUCAGCUGACAUAAUUUUCCAAUAAGAUAAGAGACAUUUAAUGGUUCCUAUUUAUAUAAAAAUAUUAGCCUCCUUCCUGUAGGCAAUGUUAGACACUGUGUACAGUUGACUACCAUUAGAUUACAUGAGUCAUCUGAUUGUAUCUGGUGGUGAUCUUUAAUAAACCUCUUGUCUUGUGUUAAUUUUUUAUCAAUUUAAUUUAUACUAUCUUAUCUUGUUUUUAGUUGUAUUGGUUUUUGCCCAGAAUUGGAAUGUCUCUAUGCUUUUGGCAACACACACACACACCUUUUACAAUAUAUAAAGCUUUAUAAACACAUUAUUUUAUGUUUUUCAGGUAUUAAACUUUGCAAACUAGAACACAAAUCUGUGUGCAAGCCCUAUUAGAAGACACCAACAAUAUUUUUUUUCUUUCAUAUAAGAACAGGAAAUAUAGGCUAUGUAUAUACCACUUUCUAAAGAGAAAAUAAGAAUAAGACUUCACCAAGCUUGUGGGCAUAUGAAUAAGAAAAGAGAGAGAGAGAGAGGGGGGGGGG